rnacentral:rRNA from 1 species
UACGAAGGGUGCAAGCGUUACUCGGAAUUACUGGGCGUAAAGCGUGCGUAGGUGGUUUGUUAAGUCUGAUGUGAAAGCCCUGGGCUCAACCUGGGGAAUUGCAUUGGAUACUGGCAGGCUAGAGUGCGGUAGAGGAUGGCGGAAUUCCCCGGGUGUAGCAGUGAAAUGCGUAGAGAUCGGGAGGAACAUCUGUGGCGAAGGCGGGCCAUCUGGACCAGCACUGACACUGAGGCACGAAAGCGUGGGGAGCAAACAGGG